rnacentral:rRNA from 1 species
CCUACGGGUGGCAGCAGUGAGGAAUAUUGGUCAAUGGACGAGAGUCUGAACCAGCCAAGUCGCGUGAAGGAUGACUGCCCUAUGGGUUGUAAACUUCUUUUAUAAAGGAAUAAAACGAGGCACGUGUGCCUUUUUGUAUGUACUUUAUGAAUAAGGAUCGGCUAACUCCGUGCCAGCAGCCGCGGUAAUACGGAGGAUCCGAGCGUUAUCCGGAUUUAUUGGGUUUAAAGGGAGCGUAGAUGGGUUGUUAAGUCAGUUGUGAAAGUUUGCGGCUCAACCGUAAAAUUGCAAUUGAUACUGGCAGUCUUGAGUACAGUUGAGGUAGGCGGAAUUCGUGGUGUAGCGGUGAAAUGCUUAGAUAUCACGAAGAACCCCGAUUGCGAAGGCAGCUUACUAAACUGUGACUGACAUUGAUGCGCGAAAGUGUGGGUAUCAAACAGGAUUAGAUACCCCAGUAGUC